GCCCUUGAUAGUUCAGUCGGUAGAGCAUGACACUUUUAAUCAUAAGAGUUGUGGGUUCAAUCCCCAUGUUGGGCA